rnacentral:lncRNA from 1 species
UCAUGCUUUUCUUUUUUUGCCAUUUCUCUUCACAAUCACCCUUCUCUUAUUUUCUCAAAGAAAGGUAGAACUCUCACCCACCUGGGAUCCUCACAGGAUGAGUUGCUCCAGGCUGCAAAAACCUCUGUGAAUUCUCACCCAUCUGGUAUCUUAACAGGAUGCAUUGCCCCAGGAUGCAAAAUCCUCUGUGCCUUCAGUCAAAUGGUCCAUUGAAAACAGUAGUGUCUGGAGUCAUCCCUUAAUCAAGGUGCCAUUAAUACAU